rnacentral:rRNA from 1 species
GUAGGGUGCGAGCGUUGAUCGGAAUUACUGGGCGUAAAGCGAGCGCAGACGGUUAAUUAAGUCAGAUGUGAAAUCCCCGAGCUCAACUUGGACGUGCAUUUGAAACUGGUUAACUAGAGUGUGUCAGAGGGAGGUAGAAUUCCACGUGUAGCAGUGAAAUGCGUAGAGAUGUGGAGGAAUACCGAUGGCGAAGACAGCCUCCUGGGAUAACACUGACGUUCAUGCUCGAAAGCGUGGGUAGCAAACAGGACUAGAUACCCUGGUAGUCCACGCCCUAAACGAUGACAAUUAGCUGUUGGGACACUAGAUGUCUUAGUAGCGAACUAACGCGUGAAAUUGUCCGCCUGGGGAGUACGGUCGCAAGAUUA